UACGUAGGGUGCGAGCGUUGUCCGGAAUUAUUGGGCGUAAAGAGCUUGUAGGCGGUCUGUCGCGUCUGCUGUGAAAAUCCGGGGCUCAACCCCGGACUUGCAGUGGAUACGGGCAGACUAGAGGUAGGUAGGGGAGAAUGGAAUUCCCGGUGUAGCGGUGAAAUGCGCAGAUAUCGGGAGGAACACCGGUGGCGAAGGCGGUUCUCUGGGCCUUACCUGACGCUGAGGAGCGAAAGCGUGGGGAGCGAACAGG
rnacentral:rRNA from 1 species